GGCCUCGUUGCUCAGUUGGCUAGAGCAUUGGCUGUACUAAAAUCUUCGCCUUGCUGGUGUGGGUUCGAAUCCCAUCGAGGUCG
rnacentral:tRNA from 1 species